AACGAACGCUGGCGGCAUGCCUAACACAUGCAAGUCGAACGAGACCUUCGGGUCUAGUGGCGCACGGGUGCGUAACGCGUGGGAACCUGCCCUUAGGUUCGGAAUAACUCCCCGAAAGGGGUGCUAAUACCGGAUAAUGUCUUCGGACCAAAGAUUUAUCGCCUUUGGAUGGGCCCGCGUUGGAUUAGCUUGUUGGUAGGGUAAAAGCCUACCAAGGCGACGAUGCAUAGCUGGUCUGAGAGGAUGAUCAGCCACACUGGGACUGAGACCCGGCCCAGACUCCUACGGGAGGCAGCAGUGGGGAAUAUUGGACAAUGGGCGAAAGCCUGAUCCAGCAAUGCCGCGUGAGUGAUGAAGGCCUUAGGGUUGUAAAGCUCUUUUACCCGGGAUGAUAAUGACAGUACCGGGAGAAUAAGCUCCGGCUAACUCCGUG
rnacentral:rRNA from 1 species